GACGAAGGGGGCUAGCGUUGUUCGGAAUUACUGGGCGUAAAGCGCGUGUAGGCGGUUGUCCAAGUUGGAUGUGAAAGCCUUGAGCUCAACUCAAGAAAUGCAUUCAGGACUGGAUGACUAGAGGACCGGAGAGGAUAGUGGAAUUCCCAGUGUAGUGGUGAAAUAUGUAGAGAUUGGGAAGAACACCAGUGGCGAAGGCGGCUAUCUGGACGGUUUCUGACGCUAAGACGCGAAAGCGUGGGGAGCAAACAGG
rnacentral:rRNA from 1 species